GCCCGGCUUCCGGGUAGUGGCAGGUGAGGCCGCGUGGGGCCAGCGGCGGCUCCUUGCUGGUCUGUGGCUCUGGGCCCAAGACCCGAGCCUCCUACAGGGGCGGCCCCCUGCCUGAGGCGCGGGUGGGUUCCGACCUCCGAGAGCCGGUCUGGAAGCACUGAGGGGCCCCUACUUUUGCCCCCGAAGUCAGCGGGGCAACAGCCGCUCCCUUGCAGGAGCCGGGCCGUGGGCGGAGGGCCCCGGUGGGUGAGAUCGGUGACCCCCGAAAACUCCGACCAAAGAGCUGCAGCAAGAAAGGAGUUGGUUCCCACAAACCGCCCAGAGUCAAGUGAGAUGUUUCUAAGGCCCUCGUUUUCUCUGUGCAUGGGAACUAAAAUCAGUCUGAUGGCAGCUGCACAAGAUGGGAAGGAGUAAUCCUUGAAAUUAGACCAAGGAAGCACGUGAAGUGUGUUUGCUCUCAGCCACCAGCCUCAGAAGAGCUCAAGUCCAGGUAGGGUACAUUUUACCUGAGAUCUACUCUGGGGUGUCUUCCCUUGGUCACAGCCUGCUCCCAGGCACUCCUGGUGAGUUGGGUCUCUUUCCUACAUGUUGUGUAGCAUUAUUGUCCCAUAUUCACAGUGAGCUGUCAGAUUCCCAGGAGCAGAAGCCUGUUUCUGAAGCAUCCAAUCAGUCUAGAAAUAAUAGUCUAGUUAUCUGAUUUUUCACAGCUCUUUGCCUUUUCCUUGCACUGAGGAGUUAGGUAGCUAACUUUAUUCACAUCAAACAGCUAUGGAAGUUAAAGUUAUCUCAGAUUCGGAGCUAUAGACAUUACUUAAGAAGCGCUGUGGUUCUUUAAGUAUAUUCACGUCAUAAGCACUCAGCAAACCAGGUUAUUCAAGAAUCCUCUUAUCUCAGAAAGCUGAUUACAUUAUAUAAAGUAUCAAGGCAUUUAUUUCAAAGAUACUGAGAAAAAUCAGAGCAUUCUUGUCAGGUGUCUGUGGCACUUUGGCACUUGACCCCAACAUUCUUAAACAUCCUCUCAUCAAGAGCAAGAGUGCCCCACACGCUUCUCUGAACCAGGAUGAGCCAGUGACUGCUUUGACCAAUUAAGUAUGAUAGAAAGGUUGCUAUGUGACUUUUCAGGCUGGAUCUGAAAAAGCCAUGCCAGUUUUGCUUUCUUUUCUUUGGAUACUUGCUCUGAGAGAAGUCUGCUGCCACAUAGAGUGUAUCUCCCCUAAGAAAGUCAUGCUGGAAAGGCCUUCUGGUCACAGCCCUGCUCAGCUUCCAGCAACAGCCAGCAUCCACUGCCAGCCAUGUGGACAGGCCAUCUUGGGUGUCCCCAGAUGUGUUGACGACUCAGCUCAGUGGAGCCUUCAGAUUGUUGCAGUCUCCACCAACAUCUGACUGCAACCUCUUGAGAAAUGCCUUGUGACAGCAAAGCAGCCAAGCCCUUCCGUAACUCAUAACCCACAAAAUCAUUUAAAAAGAUCGUUUUUAACAAAUUGGUUUUCGGUUCAUACCACUAAAGUUUUAGGGCAAUUUGUUUUACAGUGCCAUUGGGAAAGAAGUUUCUCCCCUUUGACACACCUCCUCACCAUUCCAGCUGCUCACUUUCACUUCUGAGUGUUUGUGCUGUAGUUGCUUCAGUCCAUAUCUUCUUGGGUUUAUCUUUUCAUACUUUACACAUAUACACACACAGCCACAUAGGCACAGCCACCCACAUAGAAAAUUGAUCACUUGGCUCAGUUCUACUCCCCAGAUGACUUCAUUCAGACCUCAUUUUUCAGCUG
rnacentral:lncRNA from 1 species